rnacentral:rRNA from 1 species
AGUGAACGCUGGCGGUAGGCCUAACACAUGCAAGUCGAACGGCAGCACAGUAAGAGCUUGCUCUUACGGGUGGCGAGUGGCGGACGGGUGAGGAAUACAUCGGAAUCUACUUUUUCGUGGGGAUAACGUAGGGAAACUUACGCCAAUACCGCAUACGACCUACGGGUGAAAGCAGGGGAUCUUCGGACCUUGCGCGAUUGAAUGAGCCGAUGUCGGAUUAGCUAGUUGGCGGGGUAAAGGCCCACCAAGGCGACGAUCCGUAGCUGGUCUGAGGGGAUGAUCAGCCACACUGGAACUGAGACACGGUCCAGACUCCUACGGGAGGCAGCAGUGGGGAAUAUUGGACAAUGGGCGCAAGCCUGAUCCGGCCAUACCGCGUGGGUGAAGAAGGCCUUCGGGUUGUAAAGCCCUUUUGUUGGGAAAGAAAAGCAGCAGGUUAAUACCCCGCUGUUCUGACGGUACCCAAAGAAUAAGCACCGGCUAACUUCGUG